GAUGAACGCUGGCGGCGUGCCUAAUACAUGCAAGUCGAGCGAACAGAUGAGGAGCUUGCUCCUCUGACGUUAGCGGCGGACGGGUGAGUAACACGUGGAUAACCUACCUAUAAGACUGGGAUAACUUCGGGAAACCGGAGCUAAUACCGGAUAAUAUAUUGAACCGCAUGGUUCAAUAGUGAAAGACGGUUUUGCUGUCACUUAUAGAUGGAUCCGCGCCGCAUUAGCUAGUUGGUAAGGUAACGGCUUACCAAGGCAACGAUGCGUAGCCGACCUGAGAGGGUGAUCGGCCACCCUGGAACUGAGACACGGUCCAGACUCCUACGGGAGGCAGCAGUAGGGAAUCUGCCGCAAUGGGCGAAAGCCUGACGGAGCAACGCCGCGUGAGUGAUGAAGGUCUUCGGAUCGUAAAACUCUGUUAUUAGGGAAGAACAAAUGUGUAAGUAACUAUGCACGUCUUGACGGUACCUAAUCAGAAAGCCACGGCUAACUACGUG
rnacentral:rRNA from 1 species